rnacentral:lncRNA from 1 species
UAAAAUGGGGAUGACAAUAGGGCCUACCUCCCAGGGUUGUUAUGAGAGCAGGAACCUUGCUCACCACUGCAUCCCAUCAGGACAAUGCCUGGCAUGUGGUAGGUGCUCAAUAAAUGUAUGUGACUAAAUGAGAAACAUUCAAGUGCCUCCUGCGGGGCUAGGCACAGAAUAGGUACACAAUAAGUGGUAGUCUUCCCUCCUGCCGCCCCUGGCUAGGGCUCUGGACUUCUAGUCUGGUGCCUUCAUCCAUGGCCCAGUAGUACCAGGAGCAGCAGCUCAGCCCAUUUCUCUCUUCCCUGAACCUAGCUGGCAGUGCCAGGCCUGUUGCUCCUGCUAACCAAUGUUCCAAGUGCCCCCAGCACAGGCAGCAAGACUGGUGCUGGUCAGAGGCUCUGUGGAUUGGGAGGGGCCGUAGAGGGGUGCUGCAACAUCAAGGAAGCCACAGUGUCACUCUUCUUCUGCCCCUUUUCUCCUACCCGAGCUUGUCCUUCUUGCUGCUUCUCAGCCCCGUUUGCCCGCUCCUGUGGGCACACAGCUUGCCCCAGAACGAAGUUCAGACUUGCAAUGUCUUUGCCUCCAGGCACCUCUUUCAGAGGCCCGUGGCAGCUGCCUCCCAUCCCAGAGAAGGGGAACGACACGCACCGAACCCCUGCGAGGCUGGGAGGGACCCACCCUCUCUCUUCCCUUGCAGUAUCUCAACAGCUGUACCCCAGCUGCUGGGACCAGCUCCCUUGGCAAAACUGGCUGGUGGGGGGACAAAAUGAAUGGUAGCCACCCCUGGUCCUGCCCUCUUGGUCUCCCUCAGUCUGGAAAAAAGUUCAGCCCGCAGCGGGGAUGGGCAGCCUUUGCCUCUGCCCUGGGACCCAUCUUUGCUGAGGCUGCCAAGAGGACGGGGGCCUUUCCUUGCUACCCACCCGACCCCGGAGACCUACCGGCAUUCGCAGCGAACGUGCUGAGAGAACGUCAGCUCCACGUAGGAGGGCCGGUCCCCAGAACGGAUCUUUAGGAGCUGAAGGAAGAAAGAGUUGAUGCCUGGAUUGGGGAGUGGCCCACGAGUUUCCGGCACUCUUCUCUCUCUCCUUGUAAGGAGAACCCGACUCUGUUUCCUGCUAGCCUGUGGACUACAGGCCCUCACUCCACUCUGAACGUGGGGCAAACAGCUCUCUCAGCUGCAUGGGGAUCUGAGGGAGGCCCCUGUCCCUCCCUGCCCGGGAGCACUAGCACAGCAAUAGCACAGGAAGGGGGCUCAUGUUCUGGAGUCAGAGAGACCCGUGUUCAGAUCUUGACUCUUUUACCUGCUGAACAAGUGAAAUAACAUCUCUGAACCUUGAGUUCCCCAUCCGUGAAAUGGGAAUGACACCAGCCUUGAAGGAUUGAAUGACACACCACUUGUGGCACGCCUAGGACAGUGCUUGGCAUUACUCAGUACCUUCUAGUGGGCAGAUUCGGUGGCCCCCUGGGCAGGGUAUGGACCUACCUGCAUGGUGACAUUGGCCGUCUCCACCGGCACACAGUGCAGAUUCUCAUCGCCGCAGCAGCCGGUGCAGCGCAGCAGGGAGACACAGGAUGGGCUGAACAUGUGCUCCACCUCGCUGGGGUACUCGGACACGACGUCCACCAGCCUCUCCAGCGCCCGGCAGUAGCUGCGGCCCCACACUUCCUGGAAGGGUACCACUGCGAGGAAGCAAGGGGGCUGGGUCAGGCCAGCAGAGACCUGCCCCUUGAAGCCCUAAACCUGGCUCCCAAGGCCCUGCUGGCCUUCCAGGUUCAGCCCCCAGCCCCAUCCGAGCUCCCUCAACUCUGAACUCCUAAUGUGAUCCCUCCGAAAUGCCUGCGGGCCCCUUAGCUCAUCUGCUGGAUGGAAAUCCCCAUGGAACAGAAUCUCUCAGGGUCCCAAGCUUUGCUCUGUCCUCAACUCAGGCACCCACGUCUGCCUUGGCUCCCUGGAGCUUUGAGGAUUGUAGCCCCGGCAGCUACCCAGGCCCUCUGGAUCUUUCUCAAGCCUGACCCGGUGCUUCCUCCAACUUGGAGAACUUGCAGAAAACAGUCAUUCCUGGAGUCAUGCAGGGAGGGUUGGCCUUCCCUUAUUCCUCUGCUCAAACACCUUCCACGGCUCCCUCAUUUCCUGCCCCACUCUGUGCCAGCUCCUCUGCCUGGCAACCAAGACCACAUCCAGCAAUGUGGCCCGACCCUCCUCUCCACUGAGUCCAACCAGCGCUCACACUGAGCCACGGCAGCACCACAUUCACUCCCAGCUCUGGCUUGUGCACUCUGCAGCCCGUACAGCUGCUCUUCUUCCCCCUCCUCUCAUUUCUAUCCAAAUAAAGUCCACCCGCCAUUUUCCACGA